rnacentral:rRNA from 1 species
AUUGAACGCUGGCGGCAGGCCUAACACAUGCAAGUCGAGCGGCAGCGGGAAAGUAGCUUGCUACUUUUGCCGGCGAGCGGCGGACGGGUGAGUAAUGCCUGGGAAAUUGCCCAGUCGAGGGGGAUAACAGUUGGAAACGACUGCUAAUACCGCAUACGCCCUACGGGGGAAAGCAGGGGACCUUCGGGCCUUGCGCGCUUGGGUAUGCCCAGGUGGGAUUAGCUAGUUGGUGAGGUAAUGGCUCACCAAGGCGACGAUCCCUAGCUGGUCUGAGAGGAUGAUCAGCCACACUGGAACUGAGACACGGUCCAGACUCCUACGGGAGGCAGCAGUGGGGAAUAUUGCACAAUGGGGGAAACCCUGAUGCAGCCAUGCCGCGUGUGUGAAGAAGGCCUUCGGGUUGUAAAGCACUUUCAGCGAGGAGGAAAGGUUGAUGCCUAAUACGUAUCAACUGUGACGUUACUCGCAGAAGAAGCACCGGCUAACUCCGUGCCAGCAGCCGCCGUAAGAC